rnacentral:rRNA from 1 species
AUUGAACGCUGGCGGCAUGCCUAACACACGCAAGUCGAACGGCAGCACGACCUAGCUUGCUAGGUUGGUGGCGAGUGGCGCACGGGUGAGUAAUGCGUAGGAAUAUACCUUAAAGUGGGGGACAACCUGGGGAAACUCAGGCUAAUACCGCAUGAGCUCUAAGGAGGAAAGCUGGGGACCUUUCGGGGCCUGGCGCUUUAAGGAUAGCUUACGUCCGAUUAGUUAGUUGGUGGGGUAAAGGCUUACCAAGACGAUGAUCGGUAGCUGGUCUGGGAGGAUGAUCAGCCACACUGGGACUGAGACACGGCCCAGACUCCUACGGGAGGCAGCAGUGGGGAAUAUUGGACAAUGGGGGAAACCCUGAUCCAGCGAUGCCGCGUGUGUGAAGAAGGCCUGCGGGUUGUAAAGCACUUUCGGUGGGGAGGAGGACUUAUAGGUUAAGAGCUAAUGAGUUGGACGUUACCCACAUAAGAAGCACCGGCUAACUCCGUGCCAGCCGCCGCGGUAA